UGAAUACGAGACGCUAAGGCGUCGAAGUAGUGUAUGUCAUACUUCCAAGAAAAGCUUGCACUGUCAUAGAUAAAAAACGCCUGUACCAUAACCGACACAGGUGGGUAGGUAGAGUAUACUAAGGGGCGCGAGAUAACUCUCUCUAAGGAACUCGGCAAAAUAACUCCGUAACUUCGGGAGAAGGAGUGCCUUAUUCGUAAGGUUGCAAUAACAAGAUCCAAGCAACUGUUUAUCAAAAACACAGGUCUCCGCUAAGUCGUAAGACGAUGUAUGGGGGCUGACGCCUGCCCAGUGCCAGAAGGUUAAAGAAGUUGGUUAGCAAUUGCGAAGCUGAUAACUGAAGCCCUGGUGAACGGCGGCCGUAACAAUAACGGUCCUAAGGUAGCGAAAUUCCUUGUCGGGUAAGUUCCGACCCGCACGAAAGGCGUAAUGAUUUGGAUACUGUCUCGGAGAGGGGCUCGGUGAAAUAGACUUGUCUGUGAAGAUGCGGACUACCAGCACCAGGACAGAAAGACCCUAUGAAGCUUUACUGUAACUUGAAAUUGAAAUUGGACUUUAUUCGCGCAGUAUAGGUGGGAGGCGUUGAUUAUAAUCUUGUGGGAUUAUUGGAGCCAUCAGUGAGAUACCACUCUUGUAAUGUUAGAUUUCUAACUUUGAAUCAUUAUCUGGUCAAAGAACAGUUUCAGGCGGGCAGUUUGACUGGGGCGGUCGCCUCCUAAACGGUAACGGAGGCGUACAAAGGUUUCCUCUGAACGGUUAGAAAUCGUAUCUAGAGUGUAAAGGCAUAAGGAAGCUUGACUGUGAGACCUACAAGUCGAGCAGGGACGAAAGUCGGUCUUAGUGAUCUGACGGUACUGAGUGGAAAGGCCGUCACUCAACGGAUAAAAGUUACUCUAGGGAUAACAGGCUGAUCUCCCCCAAGAGUUCACAUCGACGGGGAGGUUUGGCACCUCGAUGUCGGCUCAUCGCAUCCUGGGGCGGUAGUACGUCCCAAGGGUUGGGCUGUUCGCCCAUGAAAGCGGUACGCGAGCUGGGUUCAGAACGUCGUGAGACAAUUCGGUCCAUAUCCGGUGUAGGCGUUAGAAUAUUGAGAGGAGCCUUCUUUAGUACGAAAGGACCGAGAAGGACAUACCUCUGGUGUACCAGUUAUCGUGCCAACGGUAAACGCUGGGUAGCUAUGUAUGGAGUGGAUAACCGCUGAAAGCAUCUAAGUGGGAAGCCCACCUCAAGAUAAGUAUCCUCA
rnacentral:rRNA from 1 species